rnacentral:rRNA from 1 species
AGCGAACGCUGGCGGCAGGCCUAACACAUGCAAGUCGAACGAACCUUUCGGGGUUAGUGGCGGACGGGUGAGUAACACGUGGGAACGUGCCUUUAGGUUCGGAAUAACUCAGGGAAACUUGUGCUAAUACCGAAUGUGCCCUUCGGGGGAAAGAUUAAUCGCCUUUAGAGCGGCCCGCGUCUGAUUAGCUAGUUGGUUGAGGUAAUGGCUCACCAAGGCGACGAUCAGUAGCUGGUCUGAGAGGAUGAUCAGCAACAUUGGGACUGAGACACGGCCCAAACUCCUACGCGAGGCAGCAGUGGGGAAUCUUGCGCAAUGGGCGAAAGCAUGACGCAGCCAUGCCGCGUGAAUGCUGUAGGUCUUAGGAUUGUAAAAUUCUUUCACCGGGGACGGUAAUGACGGUACCCGGAGAAGAAGCCCCGGCUAACUUCGUG